rnacentral:rRNA from 1 species
GACGAACGCUGGCGGCGUGCUUAACACAUGCAAGUCGAACGGAAAGGCCUCUUUCGGGGGGUACUCGAGUGGCGAACGGGUGAGUAACACGUGAGUAACCUGCCCUUGACUUUGGGAUAACUUCAGGAAACUGGGGCUAAUACCGGAUAGGAGCUCCUGCUGCAUGGUGGGGGUUGGAAAGUUUCGGCGGUUGGGGAUGGACUCGCGGCUUAUCAGCUUGUUGGUGGGGUAGUGGCUUACCAAGGCUUUGACGGGUAGCCGGCCUGGGAGGGUGACCGGCCACAUUGGGACUGGGAUACGGCCCAGACUCCUACGGGAGGCAGCAGUGGGGAAUAUUGCACAAUGGGUGGGAGCCUGAUGCAGCAACGCCGUGUGCGGGAUGACGGCCUUCGGGUUGGAAACCGCUUUCGCUCAUGACGAAGCUUUGUGUGACGGUAGUGGGUAAAGAAGCACCGGCUAACUACGUG